AUGGCAGCGUCACCACUGCCGAGAUGGGCUCCGACGCCGAGCCCUACCAAGCCACUCCGGUCGACGACGUCGAGCACCGCCAUGGUUUCAUGGCGUGGCUGGUCGGCGUGGCCGUCAAGCCCCAUCUUCUUCCCACGUUGUCUCUCUGACUCCGACCCAUCGAAGGCUUCGCCGCCGGCCAGUGGGGUGGUGGACAAUGUAGAGGCCGGUACUACGGAGGUAUUUCUGACGUGGAAAGACCUCUCAGUGACGGCCAUGAACGGGAGAAAGGGCCGUGCUGUGAUCCUUGAUAAGCUUAGCGGGUACGCGCGCCCUGGAGAAGUGCUGGCUCUCAUGGGUCCUUCGGGCUGUGGCAAAACUACUCUACUUGAUACCUUAGCUGGACGACUUGGACCCAAUAUGAAAGAGAGUGGAGACAUCAUGAUAAACGGUUGCCGGCAGAAGAUUGCAUCCAGAACCUCCGCAUAUGUGACCCAAGAAGACGUGCUGAUGGUGACGUUGACGGUGGCGGAGGCGGUCCACUACUCGGCGGAGCUUCAGCUGCCGGACUCCUUGACGCCGGCUGAGAAGCGCUCGUGGGCCGACGACGUUAUCAAGCAGAUGGGGCUUGCUGCCGUGGCCGGAACCCGGAUCGGUGGGCGCGUUUCCAAGGGCAUCAGCGGUGGCCAGCGGAAGCGAGUGAGCAUCUGCAUUGAGCUGCUGGCGUCGCCGGCGCUCAUCUUCCUCGACGAGCCGACCAGUGGGCUUGACAGCGCCGCGUCGUACCACGUCAUGAGCCGCAUCGCCGGGAUCGCCAAAAGGAACGGGACCACGGUCGUCGCAGCCAUCCACCAGCCAAGCACAGAGGUGUUCGAGCUCUUCCAUGGCCUCUGCCUGCUGGCCAACGGGAAGACGGUUUAUUUCGGGCCAGCUUCCAAAGCAAUGGAGUUCUUCGAUGCUAAUGGCUUCCCAUGCCCAUUGAGGAUGAAUCCUUCGGAUCACUUCUUAAGGAUGAUAAACAUAGACUUUGAGGAUUUUGAAGAAGAAUCUACUGUUAAUGUGCCGCAUGCUGCGAAAGUAAUCCAGACUUUGGUUGGUUCUUCUGGGUCUGUUGCUAUCUUAGACACUGAAAUAGAAGCAAGGCAAACAAAUCAGGGAGAAUAUGUAGUUCAACAAAGGCAAGCUACAUUCUUGACCAAAUCAGUUGUCCUAACCAAAAGAUCAAUGAUAAACAUGCAUAGAGACAUAGGCUAUUAUUGGUUGCGCUUUGGUAUCUACAUCGCCCUUUUUCUAACCAUUGGGACAAUUUUCUUCAAUGUUGGUCACAAUUAUUCAUCAAUCCAAGCACGAGCGUCCAUGCUUAUGUACACAUCCACCUUCAUGACAAUGAUGGCAAUCGGAGCUUUUCCAUCAUUUGUCGAGGAUAUGAAGGUAUUUGAGAAAGAAAGGCGGAGUGGACACUACGGGGUCACCGAAUUUGUCAUAGCCAACACACUUUCAUCAACUGUAUACUUGGGACUCAUCUGUGUACUACCUGCUAUAAUUGCUUAUUACCUAACUGGGCUUCAAAGAGGAAUAGGACACUUCUUCUUCUUUGUUGUAACACUAUGGGCUUGCACAAUGUUGGUUGAAGGUUUGAUGAUGAUUGUCGCAGCCAUUGUACCUGAUUUUCUCCUGGGCAUAAUCACAGGAUCUGGAGUACAAGGGUUACUAAUGCUAAACGCCGGUUUCUUCAGGCUUCCAAAUGACCUCCCAAAACCAAUAUGGAAGUACCCAACUUACUACAUAUCCUACCACAAAUAUACAACUCAAGGACUAUACAAAAAUGAAUUCUUGGGCUUGGUGUUCCCAAAUUUAGCUGGUGUCGAUGGAGUCAUCACUGGUCAAUAUAUCCUGAAGAACAACUUUCAAGUGGAGUUAGGCUACUCGAAGUGGGUUGAUCUUGCGAUAUUACUUGGAAUGGUCAUUAUCUAUAGGGUGAUUUUCCUAGUUAUUAUAAAGGCUUCCGAUGUGGCAAAACCCAUGAUAAAAUCCUUCCUAGUAAAAGUGUAA
rnacentral:rRNA from 1 species